rnacentral:lncRNA from 1 species
AAUUCAGAAGACACUUAUGAUGGCUUUUAUGUUAUUGACUCCUCUAUUAUUCCCUGUGCCCUUGGUGUAAAUCCUAUGUUCACCAUAACUUGUCUCGCAGAAAGGUGCAUGCGAAUAAUUGCAGCAAAUGAACACUGGAAUAUAGAUUACACAUUGGGCGCAAAACCUAGUUCAAAAUCUGGUAAAGCGAGUACAGGCUUUUAAAAAA